GAUGAACGCUGGCGGCGUGCCUAAUACAUGCAAGUCGAGCGAACAGAUGAGGAGCUUGCUCCUCUGACGUUAGCGGCGGACGGGUGAGUAACACGUGGAUAACCUACCUAUAAGACUGGGAUAACUUCGGGAAACCGGAGCUAAUACCGGAUCAUAUAUUGAACCGCAUGGUUCAAUAGUGAAAGACGGUUUUGCUGUCACUUAUAGAUGGAUCCGCGCCGCAUUAGCUAGUUGGUAAGGUAACGGCUUACCAAGGCAACGAUGCGUAGCCGACCUGAGAGGGUGAUCGGCCACGCUGGAACUGAGACACGGUCCAGACUCCUACGGGAGGCAGCAGUAGGGAAUCUUCCGCAAAGGGCGAAAGCCUGACGGAGCAACGCCGCGUGAGUGAUGAAGGUCUUCGGAUCGUAAAACUCUGUUAUUAGGGAAGAACAAAUGUGUAAGUAACUAUGCACGUCUUGACGGUACCUAAUCAGAAAGCCACGGCUAACUACGUG
rnacentral:rRNA from 1 species